rnacentral:rRNA from 1 species
AUACGGAGGGUGCAAGCGUUAUUCGGAAUCACUGGGCGUAAAGGACGCGUAGGCGGGUUGGCAAGUCAGAUGUGAAAUCCUACAGCUUAACUGUAGAACCGCAUUUGAAACUGCUAACCUAGAGUAUGGGAGGGGGAGAUGGAAUUAGUGGUGUAGGGGUAAAAUCCGUAGAUAUCACUAGGAAUACCGAAAGCGAAGGCGAUCUCCUGGAACAUAACUGACGCUAAGGCGUGAAAGCGUGGGGAGCAAACAGGAUUAGAUACCCUAGUAGUCC